AGUAUCGGCUUCACACUAGAAGACCAAGCCCAAGCCCA
rnacentral:sRNA from 1 species